rnacentral:rRNA from 1 species
AGUGAACGCUGGCGGUAGGCCUAACACAUGCAAGUCGAACGGCAGCACAGUAAGAGCUUGCUCUUACGGGUGGCGAGUGGCGGACGGGUGAGGAAUACAUCGGAAUCUACUUUUUCGUGGGGGAUAACGUAGGGAAACUUACGCUAAUACCGCAUACGACCUACGGGUGAAAGCAGGGGAUCUUCGGACCUUGCGCGAUUGAAUGAGCCGAUGUCGGAUUAGCUAGUUGGCGGGGUAAAGGCCCACCAAGGCGACAAUCCGUAGCUGGUCUGAGAGGAUGAUCAGCCAAACUGGAACUGAGACACGGUCCAGACUCCUACGGGAGGCAGCAGUGGGGAAUAUUGGACAAUGGGCGCAAGCCUGAUCCAGCCAUACCGCGUGGGUGAAGAAGGCCUUCGGGUUGUAAAGCCCUUUUGUUGGGAAAGAAAAGCAGCAGGUUAAUACCCCGCUGUUCUGACGGUACCCAAAGAAUAAGCACCGGCUAACUUCGUG